GUUUAUGGCCAUGCUACCUUGAACAAGCCUGAUCCCGUCUGAUCUCGGAAGCUAAGCAGAGUCAGGCCUGGUUAGUACUUGGAGGGGAGAUCAUCUAGGAAGACUAGGUGCUGCAGGCA
rnacentral:rRNA from 1 species